AAUGAAUUGCCUGAUAAAAAGGAAUACCUUGAUAGGGUAUAUUAUAUAAUUUAAAAUUAUAUUCAUUA
rnacentral:tRNA from 1 species